GGAACCCUUCCAGCAUGAUCUGGAGAGGGAGGAGCAUUAUGCCAACAUUCUACGCCUGAACACAGUAGAUGUCAUGAUGGAUGAUGCCACUGUUGAAGCAGAAAUGGAAGCGGCUCUCGAGCAGUACAAUCAAGUUGGUGCUGAUCUUGGAAUUAAUACCAAUAUCUUGCAAAUACUUUGCUGAAGAUUCAAUAUGCUUGAAUAGACGGAAUGAUGGAUCACUGAUUCACGAUGGAGAAGGUAAAAUGUCCUGUCUUGGACAUGCAUUUUAUGAAAUGCCAUUGUAUCAUAUACUCAUCAUAUUUUUCACAUUUUUAUAAAUUGUUUGUGAAUUAUAAAAUUAAAAGGCAUAAACACCUUACUGAUUCAGUUACACCUUUCAUCAAGGUUUUGUGAUAAUUCUUAUAGUCUUGUAGGGGAAUUUUUU
rnacentral:misc_RNA from 1 species